AAAAUAGAGUCAAGAAAAAAGAAAGGACCUUAGCUUGUCGUUUAGAUUCGUAUCACAAAUUGAUAACUUCCUUUUUCUCUUUGCGGAAAGGAAUACAUGAAAAAUUACGCGAUAACAACUUUUACGCUCAUUUUAAGUUUUCACCGCGAGGAAUUAUUACACUGAACUUUCCCUUUCGCAAAAUACGGCAAAAACACGCGAUCGAGCACGCUCCAAACCCAAUCCAUUCCGAACGAUACUUACUUUUCGUUUCUCCUUCAACUGUUGGAUCCGACACUCUACUCGAGAAAUCGUAUCGAUCCGUUCCUACACGUAUAGCAAGGCUGGGGAACUGGAUUAACAUCAAUCGCGUUACGGAUUUCUCCGCUCGUUUUUCUCCGCUUCGAUCCGUCGAGAGCAUCGCGGACGUUCAUCAAUCACGUUUCCCAACGAGGUUUACAACCGUGCUCUUACAUACAGGAAGCGAUACACCGAACACUUGGAAAUCGUGCAACGCUUCUCAACAGGUUUUCGAGACCAGAUAAAGCGAAACGAUCGGUUGAUUACGAGCGGCGGCAAUUAGUUCGCGCCGGCCGAUCUUCGUUUCUUCGAUCCGCGCCUUGCGAAACGUUCGUCACCCUUUCACUCGACGAGAAAUUACGAGAAUCGUGUCCCAUCGAUUUAUUAAUUUCUCCGUUCUUUAAUAACACGCUUAUCCAGAGAAUAACUUGUGUAAUUCCAUUCUUGUGUAAUUUUGUAACCAGCUUGUAAAAUAACCCUUUAAAAAAAAAUUUGAAAAGAACGUUACAAUUCGUAAAGAAGAAGUGCGCAAGUUCUUUCGUUCGAGGCGCAAAAUCGGUUGGUCUCGGUCCGGUCUCGAAGCCUACGUAGCGUGGGGGUAUCUCUAUCAGAAUGUGUUUUACAUUAAUACUUUAGUGUUUUAGUGGCGAUUGCCGGCCGUUAAUGCCACUCCGGCUUGAGUGGCCUGGCUCCCGGCUUUACAAAUUUAUACACUCUGCCGGUCGCUCGUCCUCUCCGAUAUGAUAUCUACGUUCAGAGGCAAGAGUGGCCAGGAGAGGCGAGGCCACUCGACCGGGCCGAGAGUGAGAGAGAGAGAGACGCGGCUGACCUUAUUCCAGGUUCCGCGGCGACCUCGAUGUCCACCUGACCGAUCCACCUUCUUCGCCUCGCGGAAACUUCCUCGUGAUCGAUGCGAGUCGAUAAGUCGGGACGCGACCCGAUCGAGCGAGCGUUGCGCAACACCGACGCGGCCACCUCCCCCCUCCUCCUUAAGUGUGUUUCUUCGUUCACCUGACGCGCCAUUAAUAACGUGGACGUUUGCUCCCGGAGAUAUGUACGAGCCUCCUCGUACGGAGGCCUUUCUUCUUUUGGGGGGGGGGAGAGGGGUCAGGUGACACUUUUGCAUGCCAAACGCGCAUGCUUCGCGCAACCGAAGAUAGAUUAAAGAUGGUGGACGUAAUUUCGUUGUGACGAAAUGGAUUUUUGGUGAUUUCAGGUGUAUCGAAGCAAAACUUGUGUCUUCCUUGCUGUGCAAAGGUUUCUAUGAAUCGAAGAGGAGGAAUCCGGUAAGAAAUCCGGUUCAGAGAGAGAAAAUCGUGGCGAGGGAUUUCGCGGUGGUCCCCGCGAUUUCUUUCGGCAAUUUAUUAGCCAUUAUCUGAGACAAUGCGCGGCUACCUGUGCGCCAAAGGGCGCAUACGGUUUGCAACGAGGGAGAGAGGGUUGGCGAGGGUUCAAAGAAGAAAGCGCGUGGAAAGAAGCGAGAGAAAGCCGGUGGAGAGGAGAGGAGAAGAGGACGCGUAAAAGCGGCGAGGAAAGGGGCCUGAUACCGAGAUAUCGUUCAUUCUUGCCCUUCGAAACAUCCUAUCUCUCUUCAGUUUCAUGCUAAACGGUUGCACGGAUCGGUUGGAAAAUACAAGGAAAAUGCUCGUAGACGUAUCGGUCGGUGGUAAAGCAAAAGAACGGACAAAUUGUCGGGCGUAUAUUACACGCUUCUCAGAGCUACGUCACCGUGAAAUAUCACAUUUUGCCACGAGACCUCCACGUUUACGAGGGAUCGAAGUGGCGCGCGAACGAGACGUCCCUUCGGCCGGAUGAAGAGGGAUCGCCAGGACGGUGCCAUCCUUGACCAUUUUCGAAUAAUUAACGUCGGUUUUCGUGAAACUUUCGGCUUUCUACCUGAACCUCCUACCCUCCCCCCCGGGCUUAGCCAUCGAGAAAUCGUUUCUCCCCAAAUCCACAAAUUUGGACCAUACUUUUUCAAGCAAGGAAACAAACAAGGAACAAGUUUGAAAAACUCGUUUCGAGUUAAUUACGAGAUACAAGUAGCAGAUUUUUAUAUACAAUUUUCAAAUAGAUACGCACGAGGAAAAUUUUCGUGACGGAUGAUCAUUUUUAUUAUUUAAAUCCUCAUCGACCCGACGAAAAAAAAUUCGCGACGAGGAGGAGGAGAGACUCGAGAUUCAAUACCAAGAUAAGGAUUGAAAAGAGGCAGCAACCAUCUUAUUAAUUCAAACGCCGUGGACGACAGGCAAGUCUUCAACAUCCAUUAUAUCCACGGACCUUUUACCCAAGCUGGUUCUCACGCGACACCUACGUUUUCCAUCGAGCUGCUUGAUUUAGGAUUUCCUGCGGCGGCCAAGCCGGGUUACGAACAAUUCGUGGCAUUCGAGAGGGGUGUCGAGCCGCGAUUCACGUUCCAAGGAUGUCUCCACGACACCUGGGAGCCCCAUCCGCCGGGAAACGUUGGACGCCGGCUCGCCGGCCACCGAUUUGUCACCAUCGAUUCGCUAGAAAGGGGCCAUUCGCCAUUAUUUUAGAAUAAUCUAAAACCGAUGGUGAUUAGUGGAGGAAGCGUCACCUGCGCGAUCAGCUUCUCGUUUGCGGCGUGUGACCGCAGACUGACCCUUCCUGAUUCCCAGAGAAGGCCAUCAUCCAUCAUCAUCGGCUGUGAAUGGCCGCUCUUUCGUCAGACUGCUCGAUUUUGUCGCUGGCUAUACAAUAAGUAGAAAUACGUAUCAUAUUGUGUGACGUAUAGAUUUUUUAAAUUUAUGAAAUAUCAAUUAUCUUAUUCAAAUUCAUAAAUAACGUUUCGUGGUAUGAUAAAUUUCUUCCUCUCCUCCUUUUUAAUUAUCAUUAUUAUUAUCCUGCAUUUUUUUCAGGUUUCAAAAUUUCACGGUGGAAAGAGAGAUAAGCUGUAUGUAUCUAAUUUUUAUGAAUCACGCAUAUCUAUAUCUGCAAUCGUACUUAUAAAUCAUAAGGGAUUCCACGUUUAUAAAUUAAAUCCUGUUAUCCUCAAUAAGAUCUUGCUACAACAAAGUAAAAUGUAUGAUGUGUAUUCCAUUGGAUUUUGAUGGGGAAGAAUAAUUGCAACGAUGAUUCCAUCUUCAUAAGAGAUUCCUUAUUCCUUGGAUCGAUUCCUCCUGCGAAAAAGGAGCAACGAAAGCCAUCCAUUGACCGGCAUCCACUUCAGAGAAACAAAGCAGAAGAAGUGGAGGAACGGAACCAGGAGCCAGAUACGAUCAAUUACUAUAAAACUGUCCGACCGUUCCUACCGAAAACCGCGCAUACCUCGUCCAGGUGUGACCGCGACAUCCUUGGAACGCCCGCUUUUUCUCUUCUCCUCUAAGAAGCUCACCGAAGAGGAUUCGAGCGUUUUUCAGCGCGCCCGGUUGUAAAAAAAAAGGAUAGAUAUCCAGAAUUUUCGGUGGGUAUUAAUCCCUUCCUCGUUACGCCGUCCUAUGCGUCGCAUAGUUUCUUCCCUCCUUUGGUGGUGCCGCGAUCAUCAAUGGGAAGUUCCGCGCGUGAAUGAACCAACCGAAGAGCAGGAAAUACCGCUCUCACGGUAGCAGGGAUUCGAGAUUUUGUUCUUAUACAUUGAGCUAUAAAAGUAUAAAGGAUUAUAGAAUUAUGGAAACGUUUAAUGUUUGCUAUUUUGCAAUUAAAAAUUCUACUGUGAAGGAAAAGAGCUGCAGUUUUUCAAGCACAUAUUUAGAAACAUCUUCAUCUCCAGAUCAUUGAUAUAAAGGAUUAUAGAAUUAUGGAAACGUUUAAUGUUUGGAUUUUGUGAACGUAUUUUGCAAUUAAAAAUUCUACUGUGAAGGAAAGGAAUUGCAAUUUUUCAAGCACAUAGAAAUAUCUUCAUCUCCAGAUCAUUAAUAGUAUAAAGGAUUAUAGAAUUAUGGAAACGUUUAAUGUUUGGAUUUUAUAUUGAACAAAUUUUAUAUUGAUGGAUGAGUAAUUAUUUGGAUGUUAUAAUUGUCUCUCUUUUUUUUUACAGGUGAACGUAUUUUGCAAUUAAAAAUUCUACUGUGAAGUCCAGUUUUUCAAGCACAUAUUUAGAAACAUCUUGAUCUUCAGAUCAUUGAUAGUAUAAAGAAUUAUAGAAUUAUGGAAAUGUUUAAUGUUUGGAUUUGUAUUGAACAAAUUUUAUAUUAAUAAAUGAGUGAUUAUUUGAAUGUUAUAAUUGUCUCUCUUUUUUUUUAGGUGAACGUAUUUUGCAAUUAAAAAUUCUACUGUAAAGAAAAGGAGCUGCAGUUUUUCAAGCACAUAUUUAGAAACAUCUUCAUCUCCAGAUCAUUGAUAGUAUAAAGGAUUAUAGAAUUAUGGAAAUGUUUAAUGUUUGGAUUUGUAUUGAACAAAUUUUAUAUUAAUAAAUGAGUGAUUAUUUGGAUGUUAUAAUUGUCUCUCUUUUUUUUUACAGGUGAACGUAUUUUGCAAUUAAAAAUUCUACUGUGAAAGAAAGGAACAGUUUUUCAAGCAUAUAUUUAGAAACAUCUUCAUCUCCAGAUCAUUGAUAUACUCUGGUUUCAAUCUUGCGACAAUUAUCUUUUAUAUUUUAUACAAAUAUUGUUUCCUAGAAGCUUAAAUGCUGUAUAUUAUUAUAUUAUAUUAUUUAUCCGUUGUUGUAUCCGUUUGUAUCGACAAUUGGAAAAAAUUUUCCCGCGCCUCUAAAUCAUUGCAUAGUAAUACGGGUUCGCGGAACGGGCUCGAAGCGUAAAACACGAGGGCGUAGCUUCUCCUUCUCCUUCUUCUGUGCACGGCCGAGGGGAAGCGUUCCGUUAAUUUGAUGUAAUUUAGGAGCGCAGUAAUUAUAUUUAAUGGUGGUAUCGUUUGAUCUUGAAAAGUCUCGAACAAACGCACACCGGUGCCCCGGCACGAGAGGAAUAUUAAUCUUAGUCGUAAAUUUUGAUAUGCCGCGGAAAGCCGGCUCCGCCGUGCCUCGCCUCGCGAGGUUUAUUGUCCCGCGACAUGCACGUAACAUCGCACCUGAAAUCCUUAUCGACUAACGGGCCGUCGUACGUAACAGGACUAUGUAACGCACCGUACCUCUUUCGCGGGAUUGUAAGUGUAAGAGUUAACUGUCGCGAGAAAGUAUCGUGGAAUACGUGGAACCAAGAGAGACAGAGAUAUUUCUAUAUAUAGAAAGAAAAAAGAAAAAUGAUCGUUUUUGAGCAUCUCAAAAAUUAAAGAAAUUGAUGGAGGAUAAUUCUAUGAUUAGGCUCCAUUUUACUUUAUUUAAGAAGAGAAACAAGAAAAUCUUUUUUCUAAUAAUUUAAAAUUGGUUCUCCUCUCAUUAUUAUUUGUUAUAUAUAUUUUAAAAAAAUAACGAGGAAGAAAAAACAUUCAUCAUCUAUUCCAUUCCCACGUUCAACAAGAAAAAAAAAAGGGAGGAACCAGUUAUUCAGAUGGUCAAACUGUUAACAACGCCCCGCUAGAGAGGAAGCGGAGGACGAUCGACGUGUCGUGUAAUUUCGGUUAACGAGCAGGAUCAGGCUGGCGGAGGCGGUAAGCUUGGAGAAAGAGGGGAGCCCUUCUGCUAAUCCCGGACAAUCCGUGACCGAGUGAUUAUCUAUGUCGUUGCCCGGACCAGGCUCCUUUGUUUUUCCUAUUGUUUUCCCUGUUUCAUUUUCAGAAAUUUUCCUUCAUGUCCAAAAAAAAAAAAAAAA